rnacentral:rRNA from 1 species
UACGGAGGGUGCAAGCGUUAUCCGGAUUUACUGGGUUUAAAGGGUGCGCAGGCGGAUAUGUAAGUCAGUGGUGAAAUCUCUGGGCUUAACCCGGAAAUUGCCAUUGAUACUAUAUAUCUUGAAUGCUGUGGAGGUAAGCGGAAUAUGUCAUGUAGCGGUGAAAUGCUUAGAGAUGACAUAGAACACCUAUUGCGAAGGCAGCUUACUACGCAGAUAUUGGCGCUCAUGCACGAAAGCGUGGGGAUCAAACAGG